rnacentral:rRNA from 1 species
CUCGUGUCGUGAGAUGUUGGGUUAAGGUCCGUAACGAGCGCAACCCUUGUCCUUAGUUACCAGCACGUUAUGGUGGGCGACUCUAAGGAGACUGCCGGUGACAAACCGGAGGAAGGUGGGGAUGACGUCAAGUCAUCAUGGCCCUUACGGCCUGGGCUACACACGUGCUACAAUGGUCGGUACAAAGGGUUGCCAAGCCGCGAGGUGGAGCUAAUCCCAUAAAACCGAUCGUAGUCCGGAUCGCAGUCUGCAACUCGACUGCGUGAAGUCGGAAUCGCUAGUAAUCGUGAAUCAGAAUGUCACGGUGAAUACGUUCCCGGGCCUU